rnacentral:lncRNA from 12 species
CUUGGACUCUGGAGGCCUCACAGUGUUUGCUGAUCCUGUGUGCUAUCCACGGGUCCUGACCAGGCUCACAACGUAUUAUGUGAAAACCAGACCAAAUCUGUGUGGGAGAGACGUGGAGGGCCCUGUGCCUGUGAGGCAGGGGCAAGUCCCCUUGUGUCUGGGUCAGUGGUGCUGGACCAUAAUCAAUUCACAAGUGGGAGUGGACCUGUCAGCACAGAAGUCUCUGAAAAACAGCCAAGGAAGAUGACAUGGGUGACUCAGGGACUCUUAAUCAAGGACAACAUGACGCUAACAGCACUGAAACCCCUGGGGUCUAACCCUCAGGUGAGAUGGCUCCUCCUCAGGGGCUCAUCCACAAUUGACAUGUCAGUUUCAGUUGGUCAAAAUAAUUUGUGAUUUGUCAAACCCUAAAUCCCACUAUGUGAUCCAAAAGUUAAGUGUAAGAGCUAUUGAAUCGGUCAAGGCCACAGCCUCACACGAUUUUUGGCAAGACGCCUUAAGGAAGAUUAAGACUUGAAUGGACAACCGUAGUGCGUACAAGUGGGGCCCAUGGACCUUAUGGACAGUGACACGUGUAUCCUGCAGAAACCUGGAUUCCGAAACUCAAAAUCUACCUUCUGAUGGUGUGAAAGCCAAAUACUCAUGUUAACGAAUGGAAGACUCUACAUACAUUUGGGUAUCUAUGUGUGGUUUAAAAAGCAAUCCAAGAAAGUGGAAAUAAUUUAUUAACAACUGUUAGUCAUCUGAGGUCCUAUCCCUUUGAUGCAUUAAGGAUCCUACUUUGUAAACCUGUAAACAUGUUACCUGGUUACUCUAGCAUCUUCCUAUUACCAGGAAGGCGGAAUAUUAACAGCCACGAGUACUCCAGCAGGCCUGCUCCAGAGUCAGGACAAUAUGGCUCAAUCCUAGGAUUACAAAAAUCACACCUGCCGAGAAAACAAGUUCCAGACGGGGACUUUUAUGGAUGACCUUGGCUGACAAAUGUUUUUUGGAAAUUGUUUAUUUUAAAAUUACCUUCCCAACAAACCAUGAAACACUUGGAUGUUAUAUGGUUUUUUUCACUGAAAACAUACUACAUUGUAAAUGGGAGUUUCCAAGCCAGACAGAGAAUUGAUCAAAAUCUAAGGACAGUAUUAUGUAAGGAAAAUAUUAAAAAUGGGUAAGAAAAAGUUUCAUUUGGUGAGGUGAUGUCAUGGUGGGCGGAUAAAAAGGGCGGCAACCUUGUGCUUUUGUUCCACUAAGGUACUUACCCAAACCUUAGGUUUCAUGCAGGUGUCAAACUCCCACCUGGACAGGGGUCAUUUCCUAUAUUACACCUAAGCCUAUUUGAAAUAACUGAAGCCCAAAGCAACAGUUGGUAAAAGUUGAUAAAAGAACUUAUCAAAUAAUAACUACAUAAUUUAGUACAUGAAAAUAAAAUGAGGACAGUCAUCGUUGAAUGCCUCA